GUUCAGAGACCAUCUAGCUUUGUUGGUAACUAAAGGCCUCUCCCUCGGAGUGAAAGACAGAUUGUAUGAUGCCUGUGUAUGUAUGGCUAUGCUACAUGGCAAUGAAACAUGGGCUUUGACUACAGAGGACUUGUGAAGGCAUGAAAGAAACAAAGCUAGCAUGCUCUGCUGGAUGGGUAAUGUCAAUGUGCAUAUGCGACAGAGUGUAAAUUAUUUCAGA